UCAAAAGCAUUGAAGGGGAACAGUAAAAAGGCAGAGCUUUAAAGAGAGGAGGCCGCAUGGUGAAAGGCUUUCAGGAGUGCUCCUUUUGAACCCGCCCCGGAGCUGGAUUGCUGAAAAUAAGUAGGCAAUUCCGUGGAAGACGCGUUAAGUCGAAAAAGAGGGUGCAGAAGCAGCUGCGCCAAUUAGAGUGGUACCGCGAACCGGGCUGUUCGUCUCUAUU
rnacentral:ncRNA from 1 species